GAUGAACGCUGGCGGCGUGCCUAACACAUGCAAGUCGAGCGAAGCGCUUAAAUUAGAUUUCUUCGGAAUGACGAUUUUUGUGAAUGAGCGGCGGACGGGUGAGUAACGCGUGGGUAACCUGCCUCAUACAGGGGGAUAACAGUUAGAAAUGACUGCUAAUACCGCAUAAGACCCCAGCUUCGCAUGAAGCGGUGGUAAAAACUCCGGUGGUAUGAGAUGGACCCGCGUCUGAUUAGCUAGUUGGUAAGGUAACGGCUUACCAAGGCGACGAUCAGUAGCCGACCUGAGAGGGUGACCGGCCACAUUGGGACUGAGACACGGCCCAGACUCCUACGGGAGGCAGCAGUGGGGAAUAUUGCACAAUGGGGGAAACCCUGAUGCAGCGACGCCGCGUGAAGGAUGAAGUAUUUCGGUAUGUAAACUUCUAUCAGCAGGGAAGAAAGUGACGGUACCUGACUAAGAAGCCCCGGCUAACUACGU
rnacentral:rRNA from 1 species